UCAUAUUUUGUUAUGCUUUUUCUUUUAUUUUUACUUUUUUUUUUACUACUU
rnacentral:ribozyme from 1 species